GCCCAUUUAGCUCAGUUGGUUAGAGCAUGGUGCUGAUGGUGCCACAGGUUCGAUCCCAGUAUGGGACA